rnacentral:lncRNA from 10 species
CAAGAAGGCAGCCAUCUGCAUCCCCAAAGAGGCCCUCACCAGAACCCAACCGUGCCAGCAUCCUGGGCUCGGACUUCCCAGCUUCGGAACUUUGAGAAAUACAUAUCUGUUGUUUAAGCCACCCAGUCAUUUUCUCCCAGGAAGAAAAUGCAAAGUCUUGCAAGGAGAAGGCUUUUUUGGCCUGUUGCUUUCUUCCUGCCUGGAAUUUGGACUUGAGGCUUUAACAGAGGAGGAUGAGGCCAUCUGCUAAGGAUGGUGCAGUGGCAGGCCCGGAGAGCUGGGAUCCCUGGGGGCUCACUCAGCAGCGGCACCGCCUGGAUCACCUCCCUCUGGAUGUCUUGUUUGUGAGAAAUAUCAGAGCCAGCCAGACUUUCCCUUGCAUGGAGCCAAAUACAUCCUUAACUGACAUAAUGGGCAGAGGGAAAGGCCGUCCUGCUCGCGGCAUGGGUUCUGAAUCAGAAGAGGCUA